rnacentral:rRNA from 1 species
GCCAGCCCGCUCAGAAACUCGAAAGGAAUUGACGGGCCCGCACAAGCGGUGGAGUAUGUGGUUUAAUUCGAUGCAACGCGAAGAACCUUACCUGGUCUUGACAUCCCGGAGACCCUUAGGAAACUAGGGGGUGCUUCCAUCUGGAAGAAUCUGGAGACAGGUGCUGCAUGGCUGUCGUCAGCUCGUGUCGUGAGAUGUUGGGUUAAGUCCCGCAACGAGCGCAACCCUUGCCUUUAGUUGCCAGCAGUUCGGCUGGGCACUCUAAAGGGACUGCCGGUGUUAAACCGGAGGAAGGUGGGGAUGACGUCAAGUCCUCAUGGCCUUUAUGACCAGGGCUACACACGUACUACAAUGGCCGAUACAAAGGGCAGCGACACUGCGAGGUGAAGCCAAUCCCGUAAAAUCGGUCUCAGUCCGGAUUGGAGUCUGCAACUCGACUCCAUGAAGUUGGAAUCGCUAGUAAUCGUGGAUCAGCAUGCCACGGUGAAUACGUUCCCGGGCCUU